rnacentral:misc_RNA from 1 species
AAAGAAUAAGACACAACAAUUUAAGGCUCAAGUAAGUUUACUAAUGCACAAUAAAUUAAAAGAGAAGUUAGGCAAACAAAAAACAAAUGACAACGAGAUGGAUGAUGUCGGGUUUGCAAUUCCGAAACCCAUGACACGAGGCAUAGACCCAUCAGCUCAAGUAACAAUGAAAGAGGUUGUAUGAGACUGAAAGGUACAUAAAAGGUUAAAGUUACCUACCAUAUGCUCUGUUGCAUGAUAAUCAAUGACCCAUUUAGAAUCGGACACAAGGCAUGAAGUGAAUUUACCAGACUCGGCGAUAGCAGUGACGGAGGAAUUGGUAUGCUUUAGUGAUGCCUUAUAUUGAGAAAUUGAGCAAAUUCUUUUGCAGAUGCAAAAAUAGUUUUUUGGAUGAUUAUGCUACUAAAAAUUCCUUAAGAGCCAUGUUAUGAUGUUGAGAAAGACCAAUUUAUAAGAACAGGUCACCCAAAAUAUCAGCCAAAACCAAGUUUCUCAAGUCACAAAAAACACUCCAAAGCACCAAAGCUCGACAAAAUAGUACCAAAAGUACUUAAACAGGUUACCUAAAGUCCAAAAGAAUCCUCAAAUAUCCCAAAAAAAAAGGUUUUCAAUCCCAAAUAAAUACCCAAAGUCCAAAAGAGUCCUCAAAUAACCAAAAAGGAUGUCAGCAGUUCUAGUUGUAAGAGAAAUCAUUUUCUAGUCAGAGACCCAAGAAACAAACUAAAGGAAGCAACCAAGAGAGAAGAACUAAAACUCAAAUCAGCUCACAAGGCUACAACAAGCUCACCAAGGUGACACCGAAGGAGGAGAAACGGCGGUGGAAGGUCACCGGAGAGCAGCUUACACGCCUACACUCACCAACCCAUGAGACAGAGCCUGAAGAAAAAAAAAAUAGCGCGUGGGCCUCACUUGUCAGUCGUCUAAUAACCAAACUUUCUAGGCAGACCCACUGGCAGUUAGGGGUUCUUCCUGGGUGGGCGGUAUGAGCAUGGAGUCACCCUAAACAGAAGACUUAGGAACUGACAUUAGCUUUUGGAAAAUAGACCAAGAAAACAAAGGGAAGAAAAGAACUUAAUUCAUGUAGAUGGCUCUAAUACCAUGUAAGUUUUGAAGGAAAAAUCUCUUGUA